UUCCCCUAGUAACUGCGAGUGAAGAGGGAAAAGCUCAAAUUUAGAAUCUGGCAGUCUAUGGCUGUCCGAGUUGUAAAUUAGAGAAGUGUUAUCCGCUCAAGCCUGUGCAAAAGUCUCUUGGAAAAGGGCAUCAUAGAGGGUGACAAUCCCGUCUUUGGCACAGAUUACUUGCGCUUUUGUGAUGCGCUCUCAACGAGUCGAGUUGUUUGGGAAUGCAGCUCCAAAUGGGUGGUAAAUUCCAUCUAAAGCUAAAUAUGGGCGAGAAACCGAUAGCGCACAAGUACCGUGAGGGAAAGAUGAAAAGAACUUUGAAAAGAGAGUUAAACAGUACGUGAAAUUGUUGAAAGGGAAACGCUUGAAGUCAGUCGUGUCCUUCAAAAAUCAAUCUGACUCUGUUUGGUUGGAUGUAUUUUUUGUGGGAUGGGUCAGCAUCAAUUUUGACCAUUGGAUAAAAGACUUGGGAAUGUGGCAUUUUCGGAUGCGUUAUAGCCCUUGUUUGUAUACAAUGAUUGGGAUUGAGGAACUCAGUGUGACUUUUGUUUGGAGACUUGUCUCACAUAACGCACUUAGGAUGCUGGCAUAAUGGCUUUAAUCGACCCGUCUUGAAACACGGACCAAGGAGUCUAACAUGCAUGCAAGUGUUUGGGUGGAAAACUCAAGCGCGCAWUGAAAGUGAAAGUUGAGAACCCUAUCAUGGGGUGCACCGACGCCCGGUCUUGACCUUUUGUGACGGACCUGCGGUAGAGCAUGUAUGUUGGGACCCGAAAGAUGGUGAACUAUGCCUGAAUAGGGUGAAGCCAGAGGAAACUCUGGUGGAAGCUCGUAGCGAUUCUGACGUGCAAAUCGAUCGUCGAAUUUGGKUAUAGGGGCGAA
rnacentral:rRNA from 1 species